UCUCCAUUCCAUUGGUUGUUGAAAGACCCUAGAGGACCCGCACCCAAGGACGCACUCACAGACCACUGGAUGCAAUAAGCAAGAGGAUUUUAUUCGGGCAUGCUCGGACUCCCAGGGACACUUGACCACGAAAUCCGCGAGGGAUGGGUCAGUGUCUGAGAGCCCCGAUCUG